rnacentral:tRNA from 1 species
GCCGGCUUAGCUCAGGGGUUAGAGCACCGCACUUGUAAUGCGAAGGUCAUCGGUUCGACUCCGAUAACCAGCU